rnacentral:lncRNA from 1 species
UUAAGUUUAGUCAACUCAAAUAUAAACCAAGUCUUCUAAACAUCUUUUAACAAUAAAAACUUCACCACAAAUUAUUUAUAAUCAUACCUGAGAUCCCAAGGGUCUUUGAUCACAAAACUUCAACUCUUUCUUCAAUCUUCAUCUUCUAAUUCUUUGAGACUCCGUUCAAUACUUCACGAAAUUCGCCAACUUAUAAAAUCCUUAACACAUCUCAUCCCUCUCCAUCUCUCUCUCUCUCUCUCUCUCUCUCUCCCCCCCCUUUUUCUUUCGA